rnacentral:rRNA from 1 species
CCCUUAGAUGUCCUGGGCCGCACGCGCGCUACACUGAUACAAUCAACAAGCACCCAACCUUGGUCGAGAGGCCUGGGUAAUCUUGUGAAACUGUAUCGUGAUGGGGAUAGAUGCUUGUAAUUUUUCAUCUUCAACGAGGAAUUCCUAGUAAACGCGAGUCAUCAGCUCGCAUUGAUUACGUCCCUGCCCUUUGUACACACCGCCCGUCGCUCCUACCGAUCGAAGAGUUAGGUGAAUUGUUUUGAUCGAUAAGAUUUGACUAUGGUCAACUCUCGUUGUGAAAUUCUGUGAAUCUGACUGUUUAGAGGAAGGAAAAGUCGUAACA